GAUAACUGGCUUGUGGUCGCCAAGCGUUCAUAGCGACGUGACUUUUUUGAUCCUUCGAUGUCGGCUCUUCCUAUCAUUGUGAAGCAAAAUUCCCCAAGCGUAGGAUUGUUCACCCUUUCAAGGGACGUGAGCUGGGUUUAGACCGUCGUGAGACAGGGUU
rnacentral:rRNA from 1 species